rnacentral:rRNA from 1 species
UACGUAGGGGGCUAGCGUUGUCCGGAAUCAUUGGGCGUAAAGCGCGUGUAGGCGGCCCGGUAAGUCCGCUGUGAAAGUCGGGGGCUCAACCCUCGAAUGCCGGUGGAUACUGUCGGGCUAGAGUGCGGAAGAGGCGAGUGGAAGUUCCUGGUGUAGCGGUGAAAUGCGCAGAUAUCAGGAGGAACACCAAUUGCGAAGGCAGCUCGCUGGGACGUAACUGACGCUGAGACGCGAAAGCGUGGGGAGCAAACAGG